ensembl:snoRNA
CCCUCUUUUAAAAGCACUCGUUGGGCCUUGACUAAUGACCCACUGAGCCCUCAAGAAAAGGCAGAGUAAAAACACUGCUUUUGGGUGAAGCAGCAACAUGGCGUGUUGUUUUGCUUCAAUCAGUGGUGUGACAAGG